CCAUGCUACUCCCUGUACCAAGAUAUGAUCCCUUCCCUUCUCUGCCUGGAGAACUCAUGUUCAGCCUUCACAGCCCACCUAGACAGAGAACUGGGCCUCCUUCAGCUGCCUGCCCUGUUAAUCUGGUGGACACUCAGGAUCUUCAAAGAUCAGGCCUCAUCCACAUGGAGCUCCUCCCUACAGGGCAUUUUGGCUGCUGUGAAAAAAAUACAUUGUAGGAGUAAGAGAGGAAGUCAAGAAAGAGGCAACUGUGACAACCCUGGUGAGAAAUGAUGCCCUGCCUCAGGACCUUUGCCCUGACUGUUCCCUCUACCUAGAAUGUUCUUCCCUCAAGUCUCCACAAGACUCAUCGCUCUCUUUUUUCGAGUACUUGCUCCAGUGUCACCUAUCAGUACUUCCCACCU